rnacentral:rRNA from 1 species
AGCAGUAGCCGCGGGAAUACGAAGGGUGCAAGCGUUAAUCGGAAUUACUGGGCGUAAAGCGCGCGUAGGUGGUUCAUUAAGUUGGAUGUGAAAGCCCUGGGCUCAACCUGGGAACUGCAUCCAAAACUGGUGAGCUAGAGUACGGUAGAGGGUGGUGGAAUUUCCUGUGUAGCGGUGAAAUGCGUAGAUAUAGGAAGGAACACCAGUGGCGAGGGCGACUACCUGGACUGAUACUGACACUGAGGUGCGAAAGCGUGGGGAGCAAACAGGAUUAGAUACCCCAGUAGUCCCUGUCUCUUAUAC